ensembl:lncRNA
UUUUUCCCGUUACCGGUGCAGCAAAUUUUCAUUUAAAUUACCCGGUAUCUGUGGCUAUCAACCUUAAGCGAUCACCAGAAACGCCUGGAGGGAAGCGUAAAAACAAGAUUUCUGGGUGCCGCCCCCAGAGUUUCUGAUUCAGAUCAGGUGUCUGUGUCAUAAGGCCCUGGGACCUCUUGAGUAGAGAGGAAAGAGUGACAGACUAGAGGCAAUCUUCUCUUCCUUCCUCACAAGUUUGUCUCUGGCUCACGAGGGAGAAAAAAUAACAGGAGGAUUUUCCACUACCAGAAUCUCAAAGCCAGUCCUGGUCACCUGCUCAUGCAUUUUUGCCUCAGAAGCAUCUUUGCCUCUGUUUCUCCCUCUGGUCGACUCUUCAGGACUAAGCUUCUCUCUCCUCCUCUGCUUCUUUCCCUCUGCUGCUCCUGUGCCACCUCUCCCCUCCUUCUACCUUGCAUCAGACUUCCACACGGAGACAACAUGAAGGAGACAACCCCACCAGUGAGGGCUGCUCCCCCUGGAUCGAGUUCUUGCACCUAUCCUGGUAGAAUGAAUGAAAGCUCCAUGAAGUAAUCGAGACCA